rnacentral:lncRNA from 1 species
GUAAUCUUCAGAGAAUUGAUAAAGCAAACUCCAAUCCACGUAAAGAAAGUAUCCCUUUUUUGUUUGGUAACUUCUAAAGCUCUACAAGUUAUAAUAUAUUUUCUCAAAAAUAUAUUAUACACAAAAUAAUCCUUCCAGCUACCAAAUUACUUCAGCUGCAAAGAGGGAGAGAAAAAAAAAAUCACUAACCAUAAGGUCUUCCAACACAUCAUAAAUAACAGGAAAACCAAUCUACUCAUGUAUACUGAUGUGACUUGAUCAAAUUUGGUAGAAACCAAGAAAUGGGUGUUUUGGCCAUGCCCUUAUUAAUUGCGGUAAAGGAUGGUGAAUAGGCCACAAUUAAGUAAAAGGAAUUGGGUACAAGUGAGAUGCAGUCAAGAAUCAAUUCCUAACACUAGCAUUUCAUUCAUCCCCGUCUACUCAGUAUUUCAUUUACAAUAUGGAUGAUUUUCACUUUACACUUAGAAGUGAUAAAAAUAUUUUCCCCCUACGAGGAACCUACAGCAACAUCCAUAAGCAGCCUAUGGGUCUUUUUUAAAAAAUGAAUUAAACAUGUCUCUUCCCCUCGCCUUACACUUCUCUCAGUUACCUCCCCAGGGUGUGAAAAUAUCAACAUCCGGUCGCCCACCCUCUCAGGAGUGUCUCCCGUGGACUACGUCCAUCCUCUCUCCAUCCUCUCCUUCUCUUUCAGUAGCAUCACCUUGGUGAAGCGUACCGAGUAUUUCUUUCCCGUUACUCCCCCACCCCUUUUCAUGGCCGAGUGCAGCCUUCUCUGCACUUAGACCAGCAGAAAAAAGCAGCAUGCUUGGGGGAGAACAGGCAAAGAGGCCUGACAACCGGAUAGCACUUAACAACAACCGGAUGGCUCCCCAAUGGCCUCUGGCUGCCAGUCGGGUCUCUCGGUGCCGACAUCCCCGAUCUUCACGCUACCACCCUCUCCACGCCACCGAGGCAGAGACCGAUUUGCCGGCUUUUUGAGAUGAGAUCUUCGGUAGCCCAAACUAUCCUCACUAUGGAGGUGAUCUCCUCAGCCAAGACCCGAAGCAGCUGGAAGGGCCUUGCUGGGACAUCAGUCCCAAGCUCUGGAAUGCCUCAGCCUCCAAACUGUGAGAAACAAAGAUAUUCUGUUAGGACAGCAGAAAAUGAACUGAGCCAUUUCAGUUUCAGAAGAUGGAGUAGAAGAGGCACGGCCUGUGCUGGGACCAGCAUGACAGAAAUGUCAGGAGAUGUCUGGAAUUAA